rnacentral:rRNA from 1 species
GAUGAACGCUGGCGGCAUGCCUAAUACAUGCAAGUCGAACGAGAGGAAGGAAAGCUUACUUUCCUGAAUCUAGUGGCGAACGGGUGAGUAACACGUAGGUAACCUGCCCAUGUGCCCGGGAUAACUUCUGGAAACGGAUGCUAAAACCGGAUAGGUAGCAGACAAGCAUUUGACUGCUAUUAAAGUGGCCUUGGCCAUGAACAUGGAUGGACCUGCGGUGCAUUAGCUAGUUGGUGAGGUAACGGCCCACCAAGGCGACGAUGCAUAGCCGGCCUGAGAGGGGGGACGGCCACAUUGGGACUGAGACACGGCCCAAACUCCUACGGGAGGCAGCAGUAGGGGAUUUUCGUCAAUGGGGGGAACCCUGAACGAGCAAUGCCGCGUGAGUGAGGAAGGUCUUCGGAUCGUAAAGCUCUGUUGUAAGAGAAAAACGGCACUCAUAGGGAAUGAUGAGCGAGUGAUGGUAUCUUACCAGAAAGCCACGGCUAACUACGUGCCAGCCGCCGCCGUAACAC